rnacentral:rRNA from 1 species
UACGUAGGGCGCAAGCGUUGUCCGGAAUUAUUGGGCGUAAAGAGCUCGUAGGCGGCUUGUCACGUCGGAUGUGAAAGCCCGGGGCUUAACUCAAGAAAUGCAUUCAGGACUGGAUGACUAGAGGACCGGAGAGGAUAGUGGAAUUCCCAGUGUAGUGGUGAAAUGCGUAGAGAUCGGGAGGAACAUCAGUGGCGAAGGCGGCCAUCUGGGACAACACUGACGCUGAAGCACGAAAGCGUGGGGAGCAAACAGG